UGGGGAAUAUUGCACAAUGGGCGCAAGCCUGAUGCAGCCAUGCCGCGUGUGUGAAGAAGGCCUUCGGGUUGUAAAGCACUUUCAGCGGGGAGGAAGGCGUUAAGGUUAAUAACCUUGGCGAUUGACGUUACCCGCAGAAGAAGCACCGGCUAACUCCGUGCCAGCAGCCGCGGUAAUACGGAGGGUGCAAGCGUUAAUCGGAAUUACUGGGCGUAAAGCGCACGCAGGCGGUCUGUCAAGUCGGAUGUGAAAUCCCCGUGCUCAACCUGGGAACUGCAUUCGAAACUGGCAGGCUAGAGUCUUGUAGAGGGGGGUAGAAUUCCAGGUGUAGCGGUGAAAUGCGUAGAGAUCUGGAGGAAUACCGGUGGCGAAGGCGGCCCCCUGGACAAAGACUGACGCUCAGGUGCGAAAGCGUGGGGAGCAAACAGG
rnacentral:rRNA from 1 species